GCCUGAUUUUCCAAUUCUCUCAGUAGCGUUCUUUCUGCUUGAGAGAAGUAGCGUCCUUUCUGCUUGAGAUGUCGACGCAAACGCACGUUCUUAGACUUGAUCUUCAAUAAUUUUUAAAAAAUAAAAAUUAAUUAAAAAUUUCCGCUACAAGCAAUGAAGAGUUUGACCGAAUUGUGAUUGGGGGUAAUUUUACAAAGGUAAUAGGCUAUGCUGAGUGUGUGGAGGGCAUCAAAUCACUCAAGAGGACCAAAACACUAUUUCGAUUUAUCCUUAAUAACAGACUAGGUCGUCGAGUACGAAUUUCAGCUUGGGACCGCGAAUCAACUGUUUAUGAAGCUAAAAUUCAAACUAACGCGUUGUAGAGCUUCACAAGAUUGGAAUGUAUUCCCGUUGAUCCUUUAUAUUACAAAGGUGAGGACGAAGUCGUUAAAUUUGAGCUGUCUAUCACAUCUUGCACAGUAUGUAGUAAAUUGGGAGAUGCUGAGGCCUCAGCUCUUGAGCC